rnacentral:lncRNA from 1 species
AUAAAGAGCCAGAAUAAAUGUUAAAUGCUAAAGGAACAGAGCACAAGUAGAACUGAAAAUGAAACGAGGAUUGAGGCUAAAAGUUCUUGAUUUAAGCUAAAAAAUAAAAUCCAUAAACCUGAUAAGAAAAAUAACUGGUAAGUCCAGAAGCAAAAGGGGGAGUUAUAUUAUAAUUCUGAGGGUCACUAUGGCAACACCAUCACUACCCCACCAGGUCAAACUAACAAACACACAAAAAAAUAUCUAAUAAUUCUUAACGUUCUGACAGUUUUAUUAUAAAAACAUAAACAAGUAAAAUUAAUAAAUGAAAUGUUUUUCUUACUUCAUUUUCUUGGUCAACUUUCCCGUGAUUAAAAAUACACGUUUUACAUAAGAAAAUUAAAUGAAGGUUUAAAUACUCCUAUGAGCAAGGAGAACAUCUUAGUUUUUACUGGAUCUGUUGUGUGUAAGGAAAUACUGCUUGUAAACAAACUUGUCCUUGUAGCCAUAAAAAAUAAAAAUUAAAAAUUGAGCAAGAUAGUAAAAGCAUCCUUGAUAGAAUCCUUAUUUUUCUCAAAAUUUCAGGCUGAAUUUUUAAAUUAAACUAUUCCUGUCCAUUAAUAAACUUCCUGUUUACAAUAAAAUGUAACUUUUUUUUUUUUUUUUUUUACACAAAUUAAAGUAUGUACAGAAAUUCAAAAGUAUAAAUCAGUUGUAAACAUUCUGAACCUUGAGCUGCCUUGCUAAGAACUGCAGUGCAUUGUGGUCCAUGUAGGCGUUUUGACAUCUUCAGUGGUCAUCGGGUUUAAUCCGCAGGAAUUCGUGUCGGGUCCGUGCUUGACCCGUUUCGGUCCUGAUCCCGUUCACAUGAUGCUGCAGAUCUUGGAGCGUCCCUCCGAUUCCGACAGGCCCCUCUUGUCUCGGAUCAGCACCGCCUGGUUCCCGUAGCUGCUGUACCAGGCUGACUGGCUCCGGUUCAGGUAGGUGGAGGGCUGGGCCGCCUCCAUCUGCUGCUGCUGCCAGACCAGAAGGGACGUGUCCUGGUACCUCAGCCGCGCGAACGACUCGGAGAGAGCCUUCUCUGCCAGCGGGGGCCGGACCCGCGCCGCUGCCGGACCCGAAGGUUUCGGUUCUUCUACGCCGUCUGCCAUGGCGCUCCGAGGAGCAGCAGCAGCUCUGGGAAGGACGACCAUCCCACCACCCCCCACCCCAGCACCCAAAACAGCUGACAUGCAGAGAGAAGGUCAGCUGAUCUAUUUAUAGCAGAGUUUCUCUGAGUUGGAGGGGCUCUGUCACAGUCCUGCACACCUCCUCCGCCUG